rnacentral:rRNA from 1 species
CCAUCAGAAGGGGAUAACACUUGGAAACAGGUGCUAAUACCGUAUAACAAUCGAAACCGCAUGGUUUCGGUUUGAAAGGCGCUUUUGCGUCACUGAUGGAUGGACCCGCGGUGCAUUAGCUAGUUGGUGAGGUAACGGCUCACCAAGGCAACGAUGCAUAGCCGACCUGAGAGGGUGAUCGGCCACAUUGGGACUGAGACACGGCCCAAACUCCUACGGGAGGCAGCAGUAGGGAAUCUUCGGCAAUGGACGGAAGUCUGACCGAGCAACGCCGCGUGAGUGAAGAAGGUUUUCGGAUCGUAAAACUCUGUUGUUAGAGAAGAACAAGGAUGAGAGUAGAAUGUUCAUCCCUUGACGGUAUCUAACCAGAAAGCCACGGCUAACUACGUGCCAGCAGCCGCGGUAAUACGUAGGUGGCAAGCGUUGUCCGGAUUUAUUGGGUGUAAAGCGAGCGCAGGCGGUUUCUUAAGUCUGAUGUGAAAGCCCCCGGCUCAACCGGGGAGGGUCAUUGGAAACUGGGAAACUUGAGUGCAGAAGAGGAGAGUGGAAUUCCAUGUGUAGCGGUGAAAUGCGUAGAUAUAUGGAGGAACACCAGUGGC